AACGACUCUCGGCAACGGAUAUCUCGGCUCUCGCAUCGAUGAAGAACGUAGCAAAAUGCGAUACUUGGUGUGAAUUGCAAAAUCCCGUGAACCAUCGAGUUUUUGAACGCAAGUUGCGCCUCAAGCCGCUAGGUAAGGGCACGUCUGCCUGGGUGUCACGC
rnacentral:rRNA from 1 species